UACGAACUGUGCGAACGUUAUUCGGAAUCACUGGGCUUACAGGGUGCGUAGGCGGCCUGUUAAGUAGGGUGUGAAAGCCCCCGGCUCAACUGGGGAGGGUCAUUCGAUACUGAUCGACUCGAAGGCAGGAGAGGGUAGUGGAAUUCCCGGUGUAGUGGUGAAAUGCGUAGAUAUCUGGAGGAACACCGGUGGCGAAGGCGGCAUCCUGGACCAAUAUUGACGCUGAGGAGC
rnacentral:rRNA from 1 species